rnacentral:rRNA from 1 species
AGCGAACGCUGGCGGCAGGCCUAACACAUGCAAGUCGAACGAACCCUUCGGGGUUAGUGGCGGACGGGUGAGUAACACGUGGGGACGUGCCUUUAGGUUCGGAAUAACUCAGGGAAACUUGUGCUAAUACCGAAUGUGCCCUUCGGGGGAAAGAUUUAUCGCCUUUAGAGCGGCCCGCGUCUGAUUAGCUAGUUGGUGAGGUAAAGGCUCACCAAGGCUACGAUCAGUAGCUGGUCUGAGAGGAUGACCAGCCACAUUGGGACUGAGACACGGCCCAAACUCCUACGGGAGGCAGCAGUGGGGAGUCUUGCGCAAUGGGCGAAAGCCUGACGCAGCCAUGCCGCGUGGAUGAUGAAGGUCUUAGGAUUGUAAAAUCCUUUCACCGGUGAAGAUAAUGACUGUAGCCGGAGAAGAAGCCCCGGCUAACUUCGUGCCAGCCGCCGCCGUAACAC